UACGUAGGGGGCUAGCGUUGUCCGGAUUUAUUGGGCGUAAAGAGCGUGUAGGCGGCCAGGUAGGUCUGGUGUGAAAACUCGAGGCUUAACCUCGAGAUGUCGGCGGAAACCAUCUGGCUAGAGUCCGGAAGAGGAGAAUGGAAUUCCCGGUGUAGCGGUGAAAUGCGCAGAUAUCGGGAAGAACACCCGUGGCGAAGGCGGUUCUCUGGGACGGUACUGACGCUGAGACGCGAAAGCGUGGGGAGCGAACAGG
rnacentral:rRNA from 1 species